rnacentral:rRNA from 1 species
UACGUAGGUGGCAAGCGUUGUCCGGAUUUACUGGGUGUAAAGGGCGUGCAGCCGGGCUGACAAGUCAGAUGUGAAAUCCCGCGGCUCAACCGCGGAACUGCAUUUGAAACUGUCAGUCUUGAGUACCGGAGAGGUCAUCGGAAUUCCUUGUGUAGCGGUGAAAUGCGUGGAUAUAAGGAAGAACACCAGUGGCGAAGGCGGAUGACUGGACGGCAACUGACGGUGAGGCGCGAAAGCGUGGGGAGCAAACAGG